rnacentral:rRNA from 1 species
GACGAACGCUGGCGGCGUGCUUAACACAUGCAAGUCGAACGGAAAGGCCCUGCUUUUGUGGGGUGCUCGAGUGGCGAACGGGUGAGUAACACUUGAGUAACCUGCCCUUUACUUUGUGAUAACUUCAGGAAACUUGGGCUAAUACCGGAUAGGAUCUCCUGCUGCUUGGUGGUGGUUGGAAAGUUUCGGCGGUUGGGGAUGGACUCGCGGCUUAUCAGCUUGUUGGUGGGGUAGUGGCUUACCAAGGCUUUGACGGAUAGCCGGCCUGAGAGGGUGAACGGAGAAAAUGGGACUGAGAUAGGGCCCAGAAUAGAACGGGAGGCAGCAGUGGGGAAUAUUGCAGAAUGGGCGGAAGCCUGAUGAAGCAAAGCCGCGUGCGGGAUGACGGGCUUCGGGUUGUAAACAGAUGUAGAAUGAGACGAAGAGUGAGUGACGGUAAUGGGUAAAGAAGCACCGGCUAACUACGUG